AUAAAGGCAUUGAAAGGAAGAGUAGAUAAAGUUUUCUUCUAACAGAGAGCUAGAUUAGGUGAAAGCUAGCGUUGAAAGUUUUAUCGAAGAUGGCCCUUGAGCUUUUCAUCUGAAAUUAAGUAAGAUGAAACGUAAAGACGCGUUAUAGUCUACUAGAGUAAAAACUAGGGUGGUACCGUGAGAUAACCUCGCCCCUACA
rfam:[Clostridium] thermoalcaliphilum strain DSM 7309 CLOTH_contig000008, whole genome shotgun sequence.